rnacentral:rRNA from 1 species
UACGGAGGGUGCGAGCGUUGCUCGGAAUCAUUGGGCGUAAAGCGUACGCAGGCGGCUAUUCAAGUCGGGUGUGAAAGCCCAGGGCUCAACCCUGGAAAUGCGCCCGAGACUGGAUGGCUUGAGUGCGGGAGAGGUGAGUGGAACUGCGAGUGUAGAGGUGAAAUUCGUAGAUAUUCGCAAGAACACCAGUGGCGAAGGCGGCUCACUGGCCCGGUACUGACGCUGAGGUGCGAAAGCGUGGGGAGCAAACAGG